GUAAGUAAUUUUUCGCCCUUAUUCUAACUUAAAGCUUUGCGUUCAGGGUAAAGCUGUACCAGUAAGCGUGAGGCGGCGUAACAAAGCUGUUAAGCACAUACGGAGCUCCUCUGUCAAACUGACUGAAAAAAGCUGAAUUGGUGAUGAAAGCCAGGGGUAGCGGCACCGUUUGCAGGACUGUUGUGUUUUUCAGGUAGGAGUGAACCUGACUUGUGACCCACAAACUUGCCAUCCCAUAGAGUCCUAUGAAAGCAUCUUAAGCUGGAGUUACAGAAGAAUGAAAAGGAAGCAUGCAGGUCUGAAUGAUUUUUGAAGGGGAAAGCUAUCCAUUGUGCAGACCCUCCUUCAAAUGAAUAGAUCUGCAUUAAAAGUGUUCGUGAACUUGGCGAUGGACUAUGAUUUAAUCCAUUGUGGAGACUUUUCCACCAGAGUAAGUGAAAUGCAUGUAAGGGGAGUGCUGGGUGAUUUUUCCUUCCUUCACCACCUUUGUGUUUGUCACCUUGGUGGCAAGGGAAUUGUUCCCCUGUCCUCAUCUGCUGGUGAGGGCGCUCGGUUAUGGGGACAGGCAGUGAUUGGUUCGGUG
rnacentral:lncRNA from 1 species